GACGGUAUGGGCGUCGUGGAGGCUGGCGCGGAGCAGAGGCGUGCGAGGGGUUGGGCAGAGGCUGGAGCGGCGCGCCCUAGGCAUGCUGCGCCUAGGGUUUUCUGCUGCAAACAUUUUGUUUUUUUUUAUUUGGGCUAGGGUUUCUGUUAUUGGGCUAGGAUUUGGGUAGUGGGUUGAAUUUUGGGUUUGUUUUAUUGGUAUGGGCCCGGGUAUUUUAUUUUCUGAUUUAGGCCAUAUUGGCCUGCUUUAAUGGACUGUGGCAUUUUAUUUAUUUUGUUUUAUUUUUG
rnacentral:lncRNA from 1 species